UUAGGAAUCUUCCACAAUGGGCGAAAGCCUGAUGGAGCGACACCGCGUGUAGGAUGAAGUCCCUUGGGGUGUAAACUACUUUUCUGAGUCAUAAAAUUCUGAUUAACUCAGGAAUAAGUGACGGCAAAUCAUGUGCCAGCAGCCGCGGUAAUACAUGAGUCACGAACAUUAUCCGGAAUCACUGGGCGUAAAGCGUUUGUAACCUAAAAUACAAGUCGAAUGUUAAAUUGCAUAGCUCAACUAUGUAUUCGUAUUUGAUACUAUAUUUCUAGAGCAGCAUAGAGGUACAUGGAAUUCUUCAUGUAGGGGUAAAAUCCGUAGAUAUGAAGAGGAACACCAAAAGCGAAGGCAGUGUACUGGAUGCUUGCUGACGGCGAGAAACGAAAGCGUGGGUAGCAAAAAGG
rnacentral:rRNA from 1 species